rnacentral:rRNA from 1 species
AGUCGAACGAUGAAGCUUCUAGCUUGCUAGAAGUGGAUUAGUGGCGCACGGGUGAGUAAGGUAUAGUUAAUCUGCCCUACACAAGAGGACAACAGUUGGAAACGACUGCUAAUACUCUAUACUCCUGCUUAACACAAGUUGAGUAGGGAAAGUUUUUCGGUGUAGGAUGAGACUAUAUAGUAUCAGCUAGUUGGUAAGGUAAUGGCUUACCAAGGCUAUGACGCUUAACUGGUCUGAGAGGAUGAUCAGUCACACUGGAACUGAGACACGGUCCAGACUCCUACGGGAGGCAGCAGUAGGGAAUAUUGCGCAAUGGGGGAAACCCUGACGCAGCAACGCCGCGUGGAGGAUGACACUUUUCGGAGCGUAAACUCCUUUUCUUAGGGAAGAAUUCUGACGGUACCUAAGGAAUAAGCACCGGCUAACUCCGUGCCAGCAGCCGCGGUAAUACGGAGGGUGCAAGCGUUACUCGGAAUCACUGGGCGUAAAGGGCGCGUAGGCGGAUUAUCAAGUCUCUUGUGAAAUCUAAUGGCUUAACCAUUAAACUGCUUGGGAAACUGAUAGUCUAGAGUGAGGGAGAGGCAGAUGGAAUUGGUGGUGUAGGGGUAAAAUCCGUAGAUAUCACCAAGAAUACCCAUUGCGAAGGCGAUCUGCUGGAACUCAACUGACGCUAAGGCGCGAAAGCGUGGGGANNNAACAGGAUUAGAUACCCUGGUAGUCCACGCCCUAAACGAUGUACACUAGUUGUUGGGAUGCUAGUCAUCUCAGUAAUGCAGCUAACGCAUUAAGUGUACCGCCUGGGGAGUACGGUCGCAAGAUUAAAACUCAAAGGAAUAGACGGGGACCCGCACAAGCGGUGGAGCAUGUGGUUUAAUUCGAAGAUACGCGAAGAACCUUACCUGGGCUUGAUAUCCUAAGAACCUUAUAGAGAUAUGAGGGUGCUAGCUUGCUAGAACUUAGAGACAGGUGCUGCACGGCUGUCGUCAGCUCGUGUCGUGAGAUGUUGGGUUAAGUCCCGCAACGAGCGCAACCCACGUAUUUAGUUGCUAACGGUUCGGCCGAGCACUCUAAAUAGACUGCCUUCGUAAGGAGGAGGAAGGUGUGGACGACGUCAAGUCAUCAUGGCCCUUAUGCCCAGGGCGACACACGUGCUACAAUGGCAUAUACAAUGAGACGCAAUACCGCGAGGUGGAGCAAAUCUAUAAAAUAUGUCCCAGUUCGGAUUGUUCUCUGCAACUCGAGAGCAUGAAGCCGGAAUCGCUAGUAAUCGUAGAUCAGCCAUGCUACGGUGAAUACGUUCCCGGGUCUUGUACUCACCGCCCGUCACACCAUGGGAGUUGAUUUCACUCGAAGCCGGAAUACUAA